AGCGAACGCUGGCGGCAGGCCUAAAACAUGCAAGUCGAACGCCGUAGCAAUACGGAGUGGCAGACGGGUGAGUAACACGUGGGAACGUGCCCUUUGGUUCGGAACAACACAGGGAAACUUGUGCUAAUACCGGAUAAGCCCUUACGGGGAAAGAUUUAUCGCCAGAGGAUCGGCCCGCGUCUGAUUAGCUAGUUGGUGAGGUAACGGCUCACCAAGGCUACGAUCAGUAGCUGGUCUGAGAGGAUGAUCAGCCACACUGGGACUGAGACACGGCCCAGACUCCUACGGGAGGCAGCAGUUAGGAAUCUUGGACAAUGGGCGCAAGCCUGAUCCAGCCAUGCCGCGUGAGUGAUGAAGGCCUUAGGGUUGUAAAGCUCUUUCAGCGGGGAAGAUAAUGACGGUACCCGCAGAAGAAGCCCCGGCUAACUUCGUG
rnacentral:rRNA from 1 species